GCUUCAUACUUCCCUUCAGGAUCUGUACAACUAACAAACGUGAGACUUGCUUACGUUAUCAAGAAUCCAACACCUUGAAUGUAACAAACACCAACAUACAAAAUGAUGCGACACAUAUCAAUAAAUAAACAACUGAAUAAUACAGGUGAAUGAAAGCCUUUUUUUCUUAAAAGCAACUAUCUCCAAUUUUUUAUAAGCAACUAUAUGAGUUUUAUUUGCCAAAAAUCCUUGCCCCAAUUGUAAAUAAAUAAUAGUGAAUGGUUCAAACUUAAUGAUUAUAGUUUAAAACCAGUUACAGUUCAAUUUGGAAAAUAGAAAAGCUUCAAUUGGCCAAUAGCUUGACACAAUCAUA
rnacentral:misc_RNA from 1 species